rnacentral:rRNA from 1 species
CCCCGCAAGGGGGUAAGUAGAGUGGCAAACGGGUGAGUAACACGUGGGUGACCUGCCUUCGAGUGGGGGAUAACGUCCCGAAAGGGACGCUAAUACCGCAUGACAUCCUGCUCUUGGACGAGUGGAGAUCAAAGCUAGGGAUCGUAAGACCUGGCGCUUGAAGAGGGGCCCGCGCCUGAUUAGCUAGUUGGUGGGGUAAUGGCUCACCAAGGCAACGAUCAGUAGCCGGCCUGAGAGGGCGGACGGCCACACUGGGACUGAGACACGGCCCAGACUCCUACGGGAGGCAGCAGUGGGGAAUUGUUCGCAAUGGGCGCAAGCCUGACGACGCAACGCCGCGUGGAGGACGAAGAUCUUCGGGUCGUAAACUCCUGUCGAGCGGGAAGAACGCUUCCCGGGUGAAUAAUCCGGGGAAUUGACGGUACCGCUAAAGGAAGCCCCGGCUAACUCCGUGCCAGCAGCCGCGGUAAUACNGGGGGGGGCAAGCGUUGUUCGGAAUUACUGGGCGUAAAGGGCUGGUAGGCGGCCAACUAAGUCGGAUGUGAAAUCCCCAGGCUUAACCUGGGAACUGCAUCCGAUACUGGUCGGCUUGAAUCCGGGAGAGGGAUGCAGAAUUCCAGGUGUAGCGGUGAAAUGCGUAGAUAUCUGGAGGAAUACGGGUGGCGAAGGCGGCAUCCUGGACCGGCAUUGACGCUGAACAGCGAAAGCUAGGGGAGCAAACGGGAUUAGAUACCCCGGUAGUCCUAGCCCUAAACG